rnacentral:lncRNA from 1 species
CCUCAAGAAGUCUUGUAUGGUUUUGCUUUCUCUGGAUACCUUGCACCACCAUGUGAACAAUCCCAGUCUAGUACGCUGGAGGCCAGGAGACUGCCAGAAGAGCGCAGUUGUCCCAGCUGUGGCUAUCUUAGACCAGUCUACAACCAGCUUAACAUAUGGGACAUACAUAUGGGAGAGCUGGACCAAGAACAGCAGAGCUGCCCAUCUGAUCCCCAGCUAAGGCAUCAGUAAGCCUAGCCAAGACUGGAGACUGAAACUACCCAGCUACCGUACAGGCUUGCAAUAAUGCAACUGCAAGAUAAAUGACCAUUAAUCUGGAGAAAAGUCUCUUGAAGUAAGUCUCAGGGCUCCAUAAAGGACCUUGUCCAGCUACUUAUUGAAGACUUGUGUGAGGACAGUGAAAGAACGCUGAUCAAAUUGCAAUACCUGAAGUUUUACAUUCUAUUUUGGGAGCUACACUUGAAGACGGACAGAAAUGUAUGAGGACAUGCUCAUCAUGGGACAAAAACAUUUGGAAUCAUUCAUUCACUUAUUUACUUACUCAUUCAGUAGAUCUUUACUGGGUGCCCAUCAUGCUCCAGACUCUUGGUCCUGCAGCAUGCUCUACUCGCUGUGCGUGGGACCUGUGAGAUAAUCAGUGAAGAGAGACGGAAGGAUAUGAAAAUGAGAGAGCUAGAUCCACAUCUGUAAAUGUCUAAGUCAUGCUGCCAGCCAGUCUUGCCUACAGCUACUUGAUUCUGGGAGAGCCUUCUAUAAAACUGAUUACAGCAUUUCCCUGCCACACAGUGAAAAAACAAUGUAGUUUGAUAUGAUAAAACAUUGAUUGAAUACAGGGGAUAUGAAAGUGUCUGUCAUCAGAUUGGAGGGGCAAAAAGAGUGGCUUUCUUCUUUCUUUGGGGUGAGGUAGGUAUGAGAAUUGCAUAGAUAUUCAUUGAGAUAAGCUUGUUGGUCUUUCCUGUGAAAUCACUUGUUAUCAGAGCUUUGCCCCCUUUCAGCUCUCAGUGAAUAUUUCCAUCCCCCUAGAAGUGUGUGUGUUUUGUGAUAGGGGAGACUGAGAAAAUGAAAGAGGAUUAGCGUUUGCUAAAUAUCCCCUCAUUCAUUCACUGAUUAUUUCCUUUUAUGUUAAUUGAUAGACUGAUAUCUUUCUAAG